AUGAUGACUCUCGGCAACGGAUAUCUCGGCUCUCGCAUCGAUGAAGAACGUAGCGAAAUGCGAUACCUGGUGAGAAUUGCAGAAUCCCGUGAACCAUCAAGUCUUUGAACGCAAGUUGCGCCCGAGGCCACCCGGUCGAGGGCACGCCUGCUUGGGUGUCAUGC
rnacentral:rRNA from 1 species